rnacentral:rRNA from 1 species
AUGGCGACCGAGGGCAUGCUCCAUGGCGGAGUAAUCCCUUUCUCCUCCAGUCCUGGGUCUCCCAGAUCAUCUGUCCCCUUCAAGGUCCAACAUGAAACUGAAAGAAACACUGAGCAUCCCAGAGUAGAGAGUGGCUCCCGUGUUCUUCAAUCGUUGGAUCAAAACAUCCUAGCGCAGCCUACGCGUCCAAGCUCUGUUCUUCUGCGAGCUUCAAGCAUUCCUCAACCGGAUGGGUCAUCUGAUUGCGCGCAGAACUGUGUGUCUGGCACAAGCCAACUCGUCGUCCCCGGCUGGAAUAAAAGGAACAUCGGUGUUGAGGGUCCUGAUUCCCGAGUUACACCUUCUAAAAUGUCUGCAAUCGAAGAGCGUCUCUUGCAAUUAAAGGACCGCACGGGUGAUGCAAUAUUUGAGCCUACAGCAGGCACAACUUUCGACUCUAGCCAGGAAGCAUACGAUUUCUAUAAUUUGUAUUCAGGGAGUGUGGAUUUGGCAUCCGUCGCGCAAAAAGUCGCACCAACACAAACAAAUACAGGAGCAUGCAUGAACUCUGUGUUAAUGCGCGGGCAAGCCCAAAAGGGAGAAUGCAUCAUCUUGCAAGACUGA